rnacentral:sRNA from 1 species
GCCUGUUGCAUGUGACCGACAAAUGUGGUGGACUGUAAAGCGGGGUGCCAAUGGGUAAAGGACUUUUGGAACUGCCAUUCCCUUGACAUUGCCACACGUACGAAUGUCACCGCCAGUCAAUUGAAGCUCAAAACCAAUUUUGGUAGACAGCGAGAGGAGGCCCUCCCUGGCCUCACUCGCUCUCCCGCUCUCUGCAUCGUUUCUCUAACCAAUUGAUGAGAAUUUAUACAAUGGACAAGGCCUAUGAAGGAGUGCCAGGGGCGGUGUUUCGUCAAGGAGUUUGGGAAAUCACUUAAGGAAUGCAGAUAGAAAACAAAAAGGAAGGAAGGACCGAAGUGUAGAUACCCUUUGUAGAGCAAAUAAAACCAUAAAUCUUUAAA